rnacentral:rRNA from 1 species
AGAGUUUGAUCCUGGCUCAGGACGAACGCUGGCGGCGUGCUUAACACAUGCAAGUCGAGCGAUGAGAUCCCUUCGGGGAAGGAUUAGCGGCGAACGGGUGAGGAACACGUGAGGAAUCUGCCUUCAACACUGGGAUAACUCCGGGAAACCGGGGCUAAUACCGGAUACGAAACUCGGUGGCAUCACUGAGUUUGGAAAGUUUUUCGGUUGAAGAUGACCUCGCGGCCUAUCAGCUUGUUGGUGAGGUAAUGGCUCACCAAGGCGACGACGGGUAGCCGGCCUGAGAGGGCGACCGGCCACACUGGGACUGAGACACGGCCCAGACUCCUACGGGAGGCAGCAGUGGGGAAUAUUGGGCAAUGGAGGAAACUCUGACCCAGCGACGCCGCGUGCGGGAUGAAGGCCUUCGGGUUGUAAACCGCUUUCAGCAGGGAAGACGCGAAAGUGACGGUACCUGCAUAAGAAGCACCGGCUAACUAUGUGCCAGCAGCCGCGGUAAUACAUAGGGUGCAAGCGUUGUCCGGAAUUAUUGGGCGUAAAGAGCUCGUAGGUGGUUCGUCACGUCGGAUGUGAAAAUCUGGGGCUCACCCCCAGACCUG